GACGAACGCUGGCGGCGUGCCUAAUACAUGCAAGUCGAGCGGGCCUCCGGAGGUGCUUGCACCUCCGGACGGCCAGCGGCGGACGGGUGAGUAACACGUGGGCAACCUGCCUUUGAGGCCGGGAUAACACCGGGAAACCGGUGCUAAUACCGGAUACCUCCUCUUUCGCGCCUGCGAGAGGGGAGAAAGACGGUCUUUAAGGCCGUCGCUCAAAGAGGGGCCCGCGGCGCCGUAGCUGGCUGGUGGGGCAAGGGCCUACCAAGGCGACGAUGCGUUGCCGACCUGAGAGGGUGGUAGGCCGCACUGGGACCGGGACACGGGAGAGAGGCCUGCGGGAGGCAGCAGGAGGGAAUCAUUCGCAAUGGACGGAAGCCUGACGGUGCAAGGCCGCGUGAGUGAGGAACGUUUUCGGAUCGUAAAGCUCUGUGGUGAGGGAAGAACAGCAUCCGGAGGAAAUGCCGGAGGUUUGCCGGUACCUCACCAGAAAGCCCCGGCUAACUACGUGCCAGCAGCCGCAGUAACAC
rnacentral:rRNA from 1 species